GCGAAAUGAAAGUAAAUAACUCUUAUGAGUUUGAUGUGCGAUCUUUUUUUUUUAUAAAAAAGUGCAGCAUGGCCCCAUUCUAACUGUUUACAGUAGGGUGGAGGAAGAGCGUACGCGGUGAGACCCGAAAGAUGGUGAACUAUUCCUGAGCAGGACGAAGCCAGAGGAAACUCUGGUGGAAGUCCGAAGCGGUUCUGACGUGCAAAUCGAUCGUCUGAC
rnacentral:rRNA from 1 species